rnacentral:rRNA from 1 species
GACGGAGGAGGCAAGCGUUGUCCGGAUUGACUGGGCGUAAAGCGCGUGUAGGCGGGAUCUUAAGUCGGUGGUGAAAUCCCCGGGCUCAACCCGGGAACUGCCACCGAAACUGAGGUUCUUGAGGGCAGGAGAGGGAAGUGGAAUUGCUGGUGUAGCGGUGAAAUGCGUAGAGAUCAGCAAGAACACCCGUGGCGAAGGCGGCUUCCUGGACUGCUCCUGACGCUGAGACGCGAAAGCCAGGGGAG